rnacentral:rRNA from 1 species
CAGUCGCCACGGUAAUACGGAGGGUGCAAGCGUUAAUCGGAAUUACUGGGCGUAAAGCGCACGCAGGCGGUCUGUCAAGUCGGAUGUGAAAUCCCCGGGCUCAACCUGGGAACUGCAUUCGAAACUGGCAGGCUAGAGUCUUGUAGAGGGGGGUAGAAUUCCAGGUGUAGCGGUGAAAUGCGUAGAGAUCUGGAGGAAUACCGGUGGCGAAGGCGGCCCCCUGGACAAAGACUGACGCUCAGGUGCGAAAGCGUGGGGAGCAAACAGGAUUAGAUACCCCGGUAGUCCCUGUCUCUUAUAA